UUGUCACGGGACUCCAUUGGGAGAUGAUAGAUUGUGUGUUUCUGUUUAUGCUGCUUUGGAGGAAAAGGCUCUGAUUCCAUUUGCUGUAGAAGAUGAGAUCAAGACAGUGAAGCAAGCUAUGGGGAGCUGGGUAAUGUGGCCGAAAAACCUGAUCAUAUUUGAUGAAAAGACAAAAACAAGUGCUAAAGCAAGUAGGAAGAAGAA